CAUGUAUUCCCUCCGUUCGGAAUUAUUUGUCUCGGAAAUGGAUGUAUCUAGAACUAAAAUACAACUAGAUACAUCCAUUUUUACGACAAGUAAUUCCGAACGGAGGGAGUAGAUU
rnacentral:pre_miRNA from 1 species